UACUGUUUUGGCAAUCAUACAAUUGGUAUUGUGUUUGAUAUCUAGUAAUGAAUCUAGAGACGCAUUGAUAAUGUCAUGUGGAUAAUCUGCAUUGCUGAGAUCUGACAAAAGCAAAGGAAUUUUUUAGAGUUAGAUUCACUGAUUUUGGAUCUCAUUUGAGUGUUGUUGUUCAUUUUCACUUGCAUUUUCUUCAAGCAAGAAAUAUUGUUAUCUCUUAUAGGACUAUAGAAUGCUGAAAAAAAAGGAUAACAUUAGGCGGUUAAAAAUAUACGACAAGAAAUCUGUUUUUUGUCAGGCGUAAGACAGAAAUCUGAAGUUGAUAUGUUGAAGGAGCAAAUUGCUUUCUUGAUGCAAAUGCAAAAUUCUAGAAACAAACAGGCAAUGGACAUAAAAUCGUCAAUAGAUGAUAGACAUUCAUCUGAGUCCAGCCACCAACUUGAUGAUCGUGGAACAACAUCAUUAGGGACUAAUUAGAUAUUUGGAUGAACUUCUAAGUUUGAUGGAGUUGUUUUUUUGUAUUGUUAGCUACUCCACUAAUUAAUGUUUUGAAUAUUUAAACUAUUUUAUUUAUUGUAAUAGUUAACUUCAAUGUAUGAA